AGCAGCAGCCGCGGGAAAACGAAGGGUGCAAGCGUUACUCGGAAUUACUGGGCGUAAAGCGCACGUAGGCGGAUAUUUAAGUCAGGGGUGAAAUCCCGCAGCUCAACUGCGGAACUGCCUUUGAUACUGGGUAUCUUGAGUAUGGAAGAGGUUAGUGGAAUUGCGAGUGUAGAGGUGAAAUUCGUAGAUAUUCGCAGGAACACUAGUGGCGAAGGCGGCUAACUGGUCCAUAACUGACGCUGAGGUGCGAAAGCGUGGGGAGCAAACAGGAUUAGAUACCCCGGUAGUCCCUGUCUCUUAUAA
rnacentral:rRNA from 1 species